rnacentral:rRNA from 1 species
CCCUUAGAUGUCCGGGGCUGCACGCGCGCUACACUGUAGAAAGCAGCGUGCUUUAAAACCUUUCCUGAAAAGGAUGGGUAACCCCAGCAAAAUUCUACGUGCUUGGGAUAGAGAUUUGCAAUUUUCUCUCUUGAACGAGGAAUUCCCAGUAAGUGCGAGUCAUCAGCUCGCGUUGAUUACGUCCCUGCCUUUGUACACACCGCCCGUCGCUACUACCGAUUGGGAAAAUUUUAGAGAGUCCUGGACUGAUGAUUGUUCGGCUUCACGGCCUUACUUUCGUCGGGAAAGAAUUCGAUAAUAUUUUUCUAGAGGAAGUAAAAGUCGUAACA